rnacentral:misc_RNA from 1 species
UGAAUCGUGUACCGUUAAAAGGUUUCAUCCAACUGAAGGCUGUUAAAUUUGAGGCGUUUUUAUUUUUUAUAAAUAGGUGGUUUUGACCAGCAGCUGGAUAUUUACCUACAAACACAUUCAGUCCAGUUCUUCUGAACUUUAUCCUCAAAACUAUUUCUAUUAUAUGCAUUAAUAAAGCCGCUAAUAUAAAAAUAAAUAUAUAAAAUUUUUAGAUUUUCAUAUCAACUAUCCAUUACAUAUUCGUUCUAGUAUGUAAAUACUAAUAAACUUUAAAAUGCAAUUUAACUAGGCCAACCUAUUAUGUCAAAAAGAUUCAAUCUAACUUUGGCUUAUUAUUUCAAAAAUGUUUUCCAAAUAUUUGUAU